rnacentral:rRNA from 1 species
AAGCGGAGGAAAAGAAACCAACAGGGAUUACCUCAGUAACGGCGAGUGAAGCGGUAAUAGCUCAAAUUUGAAAGCUGCCAACAGGCCGCGUUGUAAUUUGUAGAAGAUGCUUUGGGGAUCGGCCUGGUCUAAGUUCCUUGGAACAGGACGUCAUAGAGGGUGAGAAUCCCGUACGUGACCGGUGCCGGCACUCGUGUAAAGCUCUUUCGACGAGUCGAGUUGUUUGGGAAUGCAGCUCAAAAUGGGUGGUAAAUUUCAUCUAAAGCUAAAUAUUGGCCAGAGACCGAUAGCGCACAAGUAGAGUGAUCGAAAGAUGAAAAGCACUUUGGAAAGAGAGUUAAACAGUACGUGAAAUUGUUGAAAGGGAAGCGCUUGCAACCAGACUUGCGGGCGGUCGAUCAUCCGAGGUUCUCCCCGGUGCACUCGAUCGUUCUCAGGCCAGCAUCGGUUUUGGUGGUGGGAUAAAGGCGUUGGGAAUGUGGCUCUUCGGAGUGUUAUAGCCCAGCGUGCAAUGCCGCCUACCGGGACCGAGGACCGCGCUUCGGCUAGGAUGCUGGCGUAAUGGUUGUAAGCGACCCGUCUUGAAACACGGACCAAGGAGUCUAACAUCUAUGCGAGUGUUUGGGUGUCAAACCCAUACGCGUAAUGAAAGUGAACGGAGGUGAGAGCCCUUUAGGGUGCAUCAUCGACCGAUCCUGAUGUCUUCGGAUGGAUUUGAGUAAGAGCAUAGCUGUUGGGACCCGAAAGAUGGUGAACUAUGCGUGAAUAGGGUGAAGCCAGAGGAAACUCUGGUGGAGGCUCGCAGCGGUUCUGACGUGCAAAUCGAUCGUCAAAUUUGCGUAUAGGGGCGAAAGACUAAUCGAACCA